AUGUCAUUGGCAUAAUCACAGUAAUCUUCCAUCAGACUGUUGUUGCACAGGAUGAAGAUUCCCACAAAAAGCAGCAAGAAGUUUUUGUACACCUCUGUGGUAAGGAGAUCUUUCAACAUAACAGGUCCGGUAUACAGUAAAAACUGCCUGAACUCUGUUGCCUUCCACCUGUCAAUUUCCCUCAGUGCCCUUGGUUUCCUUGCGAACUCCAUGGGCACGCUUCUCUGAGCAUUCACUAACCUUUCUGUUAAUGUGUUUAUUUGAAAUCCCGACAGCCUACAAGUGAGAGGACCCAUCUUCAACCACAAGUGGAGAAGUCUUCUCAUGAUUCCGAGGCACACGAGGUGCAUGUAAUCGAGGGGGAUGCCAGAGACCAUGUCCAGGGAAGUUUGUUCAAGGGGUGACAUGCCAUGAUGGUGAUCAGAAUCGGUCUUGUUUCUGAAGCUCUCAUUGGUUCUUAGAGGCAUGUCGCUUCUUGGAAAUGUCAUCCUAUUUUUCAGGUACACUCCAUCCUGUGUGCAUUUUUCACAUCCAUGAUAGCCUGUGUGACCUUUGAUGUUUUUUAGGAAUGCACGAGCAGGUGCGUCGCAAACCAUCGAAGAAAGUUGUAAAGCUAACCUCACUCCUUCAAACUCAAAUCCAUUACCCAAUUCAUUUACUUCCGUGAUGAAGUCUUCAAGAUACUCGGUCAGUGAGGUAGGUUUACCUGUGCCACAAAAUAAACCUAUUGUCACUGGUUCUUCUUGUCUGAUAUUUUGCAGUGUUCCAAGAAUGGGCCAGAACUGUGUUGACGAACUCUUGUAGAGUGGCAGACCAUCGAUGUUGACCUGAAGCUCCAAUGUGUGAAUGUUGCUCAGAAUCUUGACAUUCUGAUGUAGCACCUCUGUGAUUGAAUUUAGUACUCCAAAAUGGUAAUACUGGCCACCAGCUUUGUGUUGUAUUUGAGGGUUCCCACGCACCGUUCCUAGCAACGUUCUUGAGUCUUUUGGCAGAUUCAAACUAUGUUGACGUAGUAUGUUUAGUAAUGAAUUUAAUGCCACGUGUGAGAUUUUGUUUUCAGUAGCCCAGGUUGCCAAAUCUUCUCCUAGGGAAGUUGGAUCGGUUUCAGACUCUGACUCGGGGUCUGAUUCACUGUCAUCAAGAACACUUGCCAUAUUGACAGCUUCAGUCUCGUCAAUCUGAGAGAGACAGUCCAUAAAUGUGUCUUCAUCAUCGAUUUGACAUUGACAGGCGUUACGGCAUGCGAUUGGCUGUUCGCUGCUGAUGUCACACUUUCAAGUGCGCGCGCUCCAAGAACUCCAGUUCAAAUCCCAAAUCGACGGAUGGACGGAGUUUGAUCGGCGUCAUGGUACCAGCAAAGCAUGCAUGUCUUGGUUUCGUGAACUUGACUAAAUCCCGUGAUCUUGACUGUGUGUUGCACUGCCAUCCUCGUACAGGCUCCUUCUGUGAUUCACCGAAGCGCGUCUGAAUUCAAGCUGGAAACGGCCUGUGCUUGGUCUGUCCCAGGGUGUCAUCGUCACUCACGAAGAAUUCUGUCCUGUUUGGUUUCCAUCAUCCAUCCUCUGGCAACUGGGCUGUGUAUGGAGGCCACCAUUUUCUCCCACAAACUCCACUCUCAGCUUUGAAGAUGGUUCAGCCUAGAUGCUCAGAUCUACCACUGGUCCAGCUUCAUUCCCACAUCUGGCACCAAAGAUUAAUUAAGUGCAGUCCAUAACCAGUGUGUGCACCUUGUCCAUUGCAAAUGUUAAGGAUUGUUCUAUUAGAGCUCAUUAUAAUCUUUGAGAUUGGCCUUAUGUAAAGGCUGUUGUGUGUUGUGAGUAAAGUUCACCCCCCUGUGAAACAGUUUCCCUUAGUUGUGAGAAUAUUUUACCUUCAUGCUCUCAGCAGUUCCUACAUUUAAAGUGUCUUUUUAUUAUUAUUUUUUAUUAUUAUUGAAAUAUUGCUUUAAUGUUCAAUCAACUUUGGGACAUGAUCAACUCUGGGAAGUUAGUAUCAUUAAUUCUGUAAGGUGCUUUGAAUCAAAUGAAUAUUUGUAUAGCGUGUUUCCUCCAAAGGCUGCUUUCUCAUUCCUCAAACAUCAAAAAGGGUCACCUUUGGUUUGCUAAUUGGAGUUUGUAAGCAUCAUUAUUUGGAACAAAAUAUGAAAAUGGCUCGGUGUUACACUAUUUCAGUGCAUGGCAGAGAGUCGAAGAACCACCUGACACAAAGCCAUGGAUCACCCCCUUAUACAGAGCAUGGUAGGCUAUUAGGGGUCAAAUUCAUGCUUUCUGCAUAACGAAAUUAUGUGAAAAACAGCUAAUAAGCAGGUAGAAUUACCGUUUGCUUGAAACAAGCUUACCUUAACUUGGCUGGCAAUUUUUUUUUUUUUUUUUUUUUUUUUUUUUUUUUUUUUUAUCUGAGGGAUCAAACAAAGGGAUAGAUGAACAAACUGGCUGUUUUACAUUAUAGGUUCCAGAAAGUGUUCAUAUGAGCUUGUAUUUUUAUUAGUAUUAUAAUUUAUAUAUUCUGAUUUGUAAUCAGAAGUCACCCUUUGCAAAUCAUUUAAAGCAUUUUAAAAAUUAAAUCCAUGAAUGCAGUGCU